GAGGAGAUAAGUGGUUUAGUUGUCAUACAGGUGUAGUUUUUUUCACAGAAAAAAUGCAGGGGCUGCUUCGUUUUUAAAGAAACACGAUAGCAAUAGCAACUAUGGGUUCUAUUGAAGCUAUUUAACGCCACCAACCGGGCGACCCCCAACGGUUAGAUACAAUGUUCACGGAGUAAUCCAAAAGCAGUGAUGCUUUAUUGGAUGAGAUAGAUCGGUAAUGAUCCUUCCGCAGGUUCACCUACGGAAACCUUGUUACGACUUUGUAAAAGCACUGAUAAGACUGAUAAUUUAGAGUGCAUGGCCUAUUAAAUAGUGCAGAUUGUAAUAGAAUCUUUUGUCUCUUGUCAGUUGAGGUUUGUCAGCCGCCCGGAAGGAAACUGGUGGCAAUGCUACUAACAUCUAGAAAAAGUGUGGGGAUACUUACGAGUUCCUCCACCAAUGUCUUGAAACACGGACCAAGGAGUCUAACAUGUGUGCGAGUCUUUGAGUGAUCGAAACUCCGAGGCGUAAUGAAAGUGAAGGCGACUUCGGUCGCUGAGGUGAGAGCCUUUUUCCACAAAAAAAAGGCGCAUCAUCGACCGACCUAUUCUACUCUUAGAAAGGUUUGAGUAAGAGCGCAUCUGUUGGGACCCGAAAGAUGGUGAACUAUGCCUGAAUAGGGUGAAGCCAGAGGAAACUCUGGUGGAGGCUCGUAGCGAUUCUGACGUGCAAAUCGAUCGUCAAAUUUGGGUAUAGGGGCGAAAGACUAAUCGAACUGUCUAGUAGCUGGUUCCCUCCGAAGUUUCCCUCAGGAUAGCUGGAACUUACGGCAGUUUUAUCAGGUAAAGCGAAGGGGAUCCUCAGAGUCGACCG
rnacentral:ncRNA from 1 species